UAAACAGAAAGAGAAAGGUGCAGGGCAAGCUGGGACCAGAGUGUAGGACAUGGGUGGUGGAGACUCCCCAGCUCCAGUGGCUGCAAGUAGCCAGGGCUCAGAAACUAGAAGGUGCAUGUAAGCAGAAAGGGGUCAGGCUGAGGAGGCCUUGGGCCAGUCUGAGAUGGUUAAUGACCCUGAACAUCAGGGGAUGCCAGCCAGCAUGCUGUAACUCAAAGUCAGAUGGACUCUUUCUACUUUUGAGAAGGCCACAAAGCUUCUCAGAGGCAGAGCCUUUCCUGAGCAUGGAAGAGGACCCUCAUGUAUGGAUGGCUGGACUAGAAAACCUUUAAGGCUUUGCCUUUGGAAAACAAGAUGCAGAACCAUGCUCAGUCUCCACUUAUCCCAUCUGGAGGGACGUUCAAGAUCACCACUCUGGACAUAGGCCUAGGACUCUUGGGCUACCUCAGCUUUGGGGACACCACCCAAGCGAACAUCACCCUCAACCCCUCCAACUGCUGGUGAGUGAGUUCAGGCUGCAGAGCCGAGAGGAUGUUGUGCCGGGUGGAGCUAGGCCAGCAAGAGCAUGAAUGUGGAUCAGGUCUUCACUGUGGAGAAGAGAUACCAGGAAACUGCACCGUGGAGAGAGGUGGACUGGGUAAAUAAGAGAUCUGGAUUCUUGACCAGCACGGCCAUGUAUAAAUAAUAA